UACGAAGGGGGCUAGCGUUGUUCGGAAUCACUGGGCGUAAAGCGCGCGUAGGCGGAUUGUUAAGUCGGGGGUGAAAUCCCGAGGCUCAACCUCGGAACUGCCUUCGGUACUGGCGAUCUUGAGUCCGGGAGAGGUGAGUGGAACUCCUAGUGUAGAGGUGAAAUUCGUAGAUAUUAGGAAGAACACCAGUGGCGAAGGCGGCUCACUGGCCCGGUACUGACGCUGAUGUGCGAAAGCGUGGGGAGCAAACAGG
rnacentral:rRNA from 1 species